rnacentral:lncRNA from 1 species
AGUGAGAAGUGGGAACGGCACGAAGGUAACGCCGUUGAGGAUUAGUGGGAACGGAAUGCCGUUGAGGAGAAGUGGGAACAGAGGGAAGGUAACACCAGUGAGAAGUGGGAACGGCAGGAAGGUAACGCCGUUGAGAAGUGGGAACAGAGGGAAGGUAACACCAGUGAGAAGUGGGAACGGCGGGAAGGUAACGCCGUGAGAAGUGGGAACAGCAGGAAGGUAACACCAGUGAGAAGUGGGAACGGCGGGAAGGUAACACCAGUGAGAAGUGGGAACGGCGGGAAGGUAACGCCGUGAGAAGUGGGAACAGCAGGAAGGUAACACCAGUGAGAAGUGGGAACGGCGACGCCGGUGAGGGGAAGUGGGAACAGUUGGUGAAUUCGCCUAAGGCUCUAAUGGCAGUUCCUUGUCGUAUUCUUGUGACUUUUACAUAUGUUUGACGUUGUAUCAAAAUGGCUCCGGAGCAGAAUGGUCAUCAUGGACAGGCC